GAGUCCUGUAGUAGAACCUGCUCAGUAUCCCAAAGAGUUUAUGGAUAUCUUUAAAAGCAUCCCACAACCACAAGCUGACAAAGAGCCAAAGCGAUAUGAUGACAUUGCUAUGCCAAAAAUCUUAAAGAGGAAUGCAGACCCGUGCACCAUCACAGGCUGCAAGUGGUUCAAAUCCGGAGAGUACGUCUACAUACCGUACUACAUCGACACUAAUUACUGUGCCACGCCCCUUUUACAGGAAGUCCCGCCUUAGAUGAACGGAAGUCCCGCCUUAGAUGAACGGAAGUCCCGCCUUAGAUGAACGGAAGUCCCGCCUUAGAACACCGGAAGUCCCGCCUUAGAUGACCGGAAGUCCCGCCUUACACCCACCCCAUCCCUCCCUUCCUCCCUUUCGAAUGUGACGAGGUGCCUCCUCCUCCUCCUCCUCCUCCUCCUCCUCCUCCUCCUCCUCC